CCUUCAACAGGGGGAUAACACUCCCAACGGAGUGCUAAUACCGCAUGAGACCACGGGGUCGCAUGGCCCUGAGGUCAAAGGUGGCCUCUAUUUAUAAGCUACCGGUUGAGGAUGGCUUCGCGUCCCAUUAGCUAGUUGGCGGUGUAAAAGACCACCAAGGCGACGAUGGGUAGCUGGUCUGAGAGGAUGGUCAGCCACACUGGGACUGAGAUACGGCCCAG
rnacentral:rRNA from 1 species